GCCGAGCGGCGCGACGGCAGCGCGGCGCGCUGAGGCCGCGUGAGGCAUGCGUCGCGAAGCGCCGCUCGAGCCGGCGUGCUCGGCG
rnacentral:tRNA from 1 species